AGUAAAGACCGGUCAAAAUAACGUGUUCACGCCCGGGGAAAUGGCGACAGUUAGAUUCCCGCUGUCAGAAGCGUAUUUACAACGGGAGGAAAAAUAAAAAUCGUUUUUCGACUGUUAUAAUAAUAUUACAAGAUAGUAUACUUUAUUGUUGUUAUUGUGUGACAUCUAGUGGGAAAAUCGAUCAGUCGGUGCUCGGCGGUUUGCGGCUUGAUGGGAUAUUCGUAUAAAAAAUUCGCGCACUCGUCUAAAAGAAGAGGAAAUAGAUCGUGGGACGCUAAAAAACGUUAUAGACAUUUAUCUGUGUUC